GCUCCCAUCGUCUAGUGGCCCAGGACACUGGCCUCUCACGCCGGCAACAUGAGUUCGAAUCUCAUUGGGAGUACCA
rnacentral:tRNA from 1 species